rnacentral:rRNA from 1 species
AACGCUAGCUACAGGCUUAACACAUGCCAGUCGAGGGGCAGCGGGAUUGAAGCUUGCUUCAAUUGCCGGCGACCGGCGCACGGUGAGUAACGCGUAUCCACCUUUCCGUACACUCAGGGAUAGCCUUUCGAAAGAAAGAUUAAUACCUGAUGGUAUGAUGAGAUUGCAUGGUAUCAUCAUUAAAGAUUCAUCGGUGUACGAUGGGGAUGCGUUCCAUUAGGUAGUAGGCGGGGUAACGGCCCACCUAGCCUACGAUGGAUAGGGGUUCUGAGAGGAAGGUCCCCCACAUUGGAACUGAGACACGGUCCAAACUCCUACGGGAGGCAGCAGUGAGGAAUAUUGGUCAAUGGACGAGAGUCUGAACCAGCCAAGUAGCGUGAAGGAUGAAGGUCCUACGGAUUGUAAACUUCUUUUAUAAGGGAAUAAACCCUCCCACGUGUGGGAGCUUGUAUGUACCUUAUGAAUAAGCAUCGGCUAACUCCGUGCCAGCAGCCGCGGUAAUACGGAGGAUGCGAGCGUUAUCCGGAUUUAUUGGGUUUAAAGGGAGCGCAGACGGGUCGUUAAGUCAGCUGUGAAAGUUUGGGGCUCAACCUUAAAAUUGCAGUUGAUACUGGCGUCCUUGAGUGCGGUUGAGGUGUGCGGAAUUCGUGGUGUAGCGGUGAAAUGCUUAGAUAUCACGAAGAACUCCGAUUG